AUUAUGUUGAUGCACUAAAGCCUUCUGCCAUUGCACUGCCUCUACAUGGAUGUAAGUCUGGAACUAUUUUACAUAUAGAUGAACUCGUGCACGAAGCUGAAUUGUACAGGACUAAUUGGCACUAUAAGUAUUUUUGGAAGGAUUAGGGAAAAUAUUUUUGGAUAGAUGUGUAUG